AACGAACGCUGGCGGCAUGCCUAACACAUGCAAGUCGAACGAGAUCUUCGGGUCUAGUGGCGCACGGGUGCGUAACGCGUGGGGAUCUGCCCUUUGGUUCGGAAUAACAGUGGGAAACCGCUGCUAAUACCGGAUGAUGACGUAAGUCCAAAGAUUUAUCGCCCAAGGAUGAGCCCGCGUAGGAUUAGCUAGUUGGUGGGGUAAUGGCCCACCAAGGCGACGAGCCUUAGCUGGUCUGAGAGGAUGAUCAGCCACACUGGGACUGAGACACGGCCCAGACUCCUACGGGAGGCAGCAGUGGGGAAUAUUGGACAAUGGGCGAAAGCCUGAUCCAGCAAUGCCGCGUGAGUGAUGAAGGCCUUAGGGUUGUAAAGCUCUUUUACCCGGGAUGAUAAUGACAGUACCGGGAGAAUAAGCUCCGGCUAACUCCGUGCCAGCCGCCGCGGUAA
rnacentral:rRNA from 1 species